GCGUGAGUGAAGAAGGCCUUAGGGUUGUAAAGCUCUUUCGGCGGGGAAGAUGGUGACGGUACCCGCAGAAGAAGCCCCGGCUAACUCCGUGCCAGCAGCCGCGGUAAUACGGAGGGGGCAAGCGUUGUUCGGAAUUACUGGGCGUAAAGGGCGCGUAGGCGGUCCGAGAAGUUGGGCGUGAAAGGCCUGGGCUUAACCCGGGGAUUGCGCUCGAAACUGACGGGCUUGAGACCGGGAGAGGAUGGCGGAAUUCCCAGUGUAGAGGUGAAAUUCGU
rnacentral:rRNA from 1 species